ensembl:lncRNA
UGGAGUUCAUAUUUGCCUGUUGCUUUGUUUGAAGCAAGCAGUGAGAGAGAAAAUGUCGUUUUAUUUUGGUGUGGAAUAUACGUUUCCGUUUGUACUCGUUUGUGUCCAACGUCGCAACGAGACAAAUUUGUGUGAGAGGAAACACUAGUUUUCAUCCGUCGCGUCGAGCUGCGGAGGAAAAGAACCCCGAAGCGCUUCGUCGUGCUGCACAGGCAACAGACCAAGUCAGUUCAUCGGGCCUCGUUGGAAUUUUUAUCUGCUCCAGAAACGCAAGUGGACGCUCCGGACCGUUUCCUGCUUAUUGCGUGGACAGCAGGCGAGGAGACCAGAAGAAAACUGUGGAGGUGUGUCUUUCUUCAGCCUGGUGAGCGGUUGGCAAGGAAACCCCACAACCCCACCAAUCCCCUUCCUCUGUGCCAGGCUAAAGAGGCAGAUGGGUGAGCCGAGGCCCGGGAGACAUAUGGAGAGCAAGGUUGAAGGUCGAGAACAUCUUUUCACCGUGCCAUCAGGGAGCUGGAGCCAUCCAGACAGACUGUCACGGUGAGCAUCAGACCGGCGCCCACGUAGAUGAACCCAAGCCAAGGGCAGGAACUCUCACUGCUACUCGCUCUGCAAAUUAAAUGAUGCGACAUUCAUGAACAGCAUCAAUGUAUCAUCAGGAAAUACUGCUUACCAGAGUAAGGGCUUGCAAUGUGUUUGAGUCCGCAGAAGUAAAGGUUAAAGCAUUUGGAUGAGAGUUGGUGCUCUCUUCCGUUUUGUUGCUAAUAUUUAACAUUUAAGAGAGGCAGGUGGGGAAAGUGGCACAGCCAGUAGUACUGAUGCGACACAGGGCCUGAGCUGCAUGUUCAUAAGUGAGUUGGAAUCCAAAUCAGGGAGUGAGGAGUUUCCAUGUUCUCCCGUUGUUCGCAAUCCAAAGACAUCUGCGAAAGAACGCAAUGAUAAACUACUUCCUUACCAUGAGUAAAUCACUCUUUACCAUGAAAACCAUGUGAGGGGUUGCUAUGAAAUGAAUUUGACUGGGCAGCACUAAGCCAACCUUACAUCAAUCCCUAAUGCAGAAUGACACUUAGGGGACCUCUUAGUCUAUCAACAAGGGCCAUUCAGCGAUUUGGUCCUUCUAGGGUCCCAGCUUUGGAGCCUGGCCUGCUGGCUUCUCCAUCAUUGUGCUGCUUGGGUCUAAGUCUCACUGGGCAGUCAGCUGGGAUUCAGGUGAAGCCACCUGCUUGAGAAGGAAAGCAGGAGGUAGCAUCACCUUCAUGAGCACUGUGAGCUGUAGAGGGGAGUUGUCGCUAAAGGAAGGGUGGAUUGUUGUCAUUUGUUUUUGUAACCCAGUUACAUAGGUACAUGACUAUGAUUGCCUGGAGGGUAAAUUUUGUGGGGAAAAAAAAAACAAGAAUGCAACAACUGAAAUAUAUGUUUCAUGAAGUGUGACUACCAGCAAGACCUGAGGUACUCAGUCAUCAGCCUGCGUGCCUGGAGGAGACCUGAGACUUCCCUCAGAAAGCCAGGUCGGCACAUUGGGGAGGGUGGGGAGGUGUUCAUCCUGCCUUUCACAAUUCCACCUUGGUACCCAUACCACCCUUAAAAUAAGACAGUUUUGGGACAUCAAAUAGUCACAAGUAAAGCAAGGCAAGCCGGGACAGAUGGAAGUGCCUGCUCCCACACCAAGAUGCUGAUGUCAUCAGUGGGUAAUGCAUUUUCAAACAAACAGCUGUCAUUAGGCACCGAGGCCUACAGAAAACAGGUGAAGAUACAGCAGAGAUCUAGGCCACAAAAACCGAAAACUAGCUCCUUGACUUCUGCUUUUCACUGAGCCUUGGAAAUCGGCAGAAAACCUUUUGUUUUUAUGUAUUCCUUUGUCACACAUUCAGGUCAAAGAUUUCUUUGUACAAUGUCAAAAAGACUGGCAGCCCUGCUGUUAUGCUGAGAAUUCACACCAUCAAAUGAUUACAAAUCACUCAAGCUCGUCAAAGGACGAUUCACUCUACAGCCCAGUUUAAAAUGGAUCCUAUAUCUGCAAAUAAAUUGCAUAGUACUCUGACA